UGACUGAGACGCUUGCCUAAGACCACUGACCCUAGAAAAUGCAGCUUCCAGUGUUGCAUAAGAUAUAAAUUUUGUAGUAUCAUCAAUGUGAAAACAUGUGAAGAGGCUACACUUGAAAGAUGCUUAAAUAUAUCAGAGGAACAUCUGCACCAGAAGAAGGUGAAAGAAUAUGGCAUGGGCCAAAACACCUACAUCAAUUUAAUCUUGCCACUGUGGAGCUCUACAGCAGGAAACGUAAAGAGGCAUCUCCAGCAGCCAUACAGAGUGGCUCCUGCUCUGCAGAACAUGCAUCUGGUGGGGAGCAAAUCUAUUUAACCGUUCACCAUGCAGACCUUAAGUCAGCGGGGAAGAGAGCUGACAGGCACCUUUGCAGCUGACUCAAAUCCAAGACAAGAGCUGAGCCAGCCAGCAAAGUCGUGCUGACCUUCUGCCAGCAUUAUUGCAGUCCCCCAAGCACAACUUUGGGCACCGCAUCCUUGGGAAAGAUGGCACUGGGGAAUGCUGGCAGGCCCUUCCCGACAGCUGCCUCUGCUCUGUUGCAGCCUGAUCGAGUGUUAUCACUAUGACAACCUACAGGUACAGGAUUCACACAGUGGCAGGAGCUCGGGCUGACCAUGGUUGCGUGUGCAUGGCUCAGAGCAGGGCUCCUCUGCCCUAGAGGGGAGAAAAAGCACAUGGAGCCACACACAGGUGCCUCUCCCCUGCCCCUGUCCUGUCACUUGCUCGGUGUGUAAGGCAGGGUGGGUGUUUUAGAGACAUCAGUAGUUAGGGUUCUUAAUAAUCUUCUCUGGGACAAAGUAAAGAAAGAGUAAUUUUUCUUCUCAGUUUCCAGAGCCCUUCUUGGGGAAAUCAACAGAUUUAUGAGAAUAUAAAGCUGCCCUUAAAACUCUGCCUUCUUCAGUGUAAUUAAAAG
rnacentral:lncRNA from 1 species